rnacentral:rRNA from 1 species
UGGGGAAUAUUGCACAAUGGAGGAAACUCUGAUGCAGCGACGCCGCGUGAAGGAUGAAGUAUUUCGGUAUGUAAACUUCUAUCAGCAGGGAAGAAAAUGACGGUACCUGACUAAGAAGCCCCGGCUAACUACGUGCCAGCAGCCGCGGUAAUACGUAGGGGGCAAGCGUUAUCCGGAUUUACUGGGUGUAAAGGGAGCGUAGACGGCUUUGCAAGCCAGAUGUGAAAGCCCGGGGCUCAACCUCGGGACUGCAUUUGGAACUGUAAUGCUAGAGUGUCGGAGAGGCAAGUGGAAUUCCUAGUGUAGCGGUGAAAUGCGUAGAUAUUGGGAGGAACACCAGUGGCGAAGGCGGCUUACUGGACGAUGACUGACGCUGAAGCUCGAAAGUGCGGGUAUCGAACAGG